rnacentral:miRNA from 1 species
UACGUGGAUAAGGCAUUCUAUU